AACACGGACCAAGGAGUCUAACAAGUACGCGAGUGUAAUGGGACUACACCAAUUAAAAAGCGUAACUAAAGUGACUAUAAAAUGACCUCUAUUGCCCCGUCCUCUCCUCUUCACGGGGGAGUGGGAUUAGGGGUCUCUAGAGCGUUAUUCUUUUGGAUCGAUCCUCGGCCUUUUGCUCGCAAAAGGCUUUCUUGGCGCAGAUCCACGGCCCGCCGGUGACCUUCCGCCGCGCUGCCCCUUUAUUUUCGAAUAUCGGUAAGCAGUGUCGGAAGCAUCCGGCAGGUACGAUGAGCAUUCUUGUUAGUACCCGAAAGAUGGUGAUCUAUGUUUGGCCAAGAUGAAGCCAGAGGAAACUCUGGUGGAGGUCUGUGGCGAUUCUGACGUGCAAA
rnacentral:rRNA from 1 species